GGGAGACAAAGCCCGCCGGGCGUGGUGCUGGCCACCCACCCUCUCGUGCGCCGUGCUACCUUCAUAGGUGCUCGCUAACAGCGCUUGCUCCAACAACAACCACAGCGCGUUAAAGGCCAUAUUGGGGGAUCUCUGUGAUUGGUCUCCCCACCCCUUCGAGUGUGACGUCGCCGCAUUCCGAGAAACAACGUCGUCUGGUGCGUCUCGUGCGCUUCUCACCAUUGGCGUGGCGCUUCAGAGAAACGUCGCGGUAGUUUGUUUCUGACGCCGCGCGGGGCGUGCGCGUGCGCGUGUGUGAGUAUAUAUAUAGGACGCUUGGCGAUAGCGUGGAGCAUCUUCAUCAUACAGGUGGAGAACCCAACGAUCGACAAUGAACCGCCUUCUUACAACCAUUUUUCUCUUCGCAUUCAUCUCGGGCAGUUACGCCGGGAUCAUAUUAGGAAUGGUGGCUGCUGCUGCGGCAGGCGCAGCGACUGCAGUCACCGGAGUCACCACCGCGGUUUCGACUGCGGGAUUCACCUCGGGGGGGAUAGCAGCGGGCACCUACGCAGCGUCGAUGAUGUCCGCGGCUGCAACUGCUGCCGGUGGGGGGGUAGCGGCCGGCAGCACGGUGGCUAUUCUGCAGUCCAUCGGCGUCAUUGGACUUGGAGUACUGGGAACUGCAGCAACUGGUGGAAUCGGGGCGGCAGGGGGCCUUUUAAUUUACGCUCUCAUCAUAUAACCCUCGAGCGAGAGCAGAACCAAAUGAUGUCUUUAGCAAUAGAAAUGUAUUGACUUGUCACAGUUCAACAAUCAUUCUCUAAAUGUGUAAUGGCCUGCAAUUGAUCCUACGUCUGGCCUGAGGAGGGGGGUAACGUGUGGAAGGAUCCGCGAGGGCGAGUCGUCGUGAGGGCCGUGCUCGCGAUGAGAGCUUGGAGUUGGGGCUGCCGCACAGCGUUAACAAGUUACAGGUCGCGAGUGUUUAGAUAAAAACAAGUUCUGCUGGCAUGAGACUUGUCUGUGUGGGCGGUGAUUCUGCCCGGCACCGCAGACACACGGGACCCUCGUCCCGGCCCACGGGUGAGGGGUCGUCGUGUCCCAUCCCCACACGCCACCCUGAAUUUUAUUAUUAUUAUAACAAAGCGACUUGCUACCACCUCACUACCCUAAACAAAGUGCUGGAUCGCCUUAGUAAAAAAAUACAAAGAUAAUUUAGCGGGUAUUCUGAGCAGAUCGGUGAAGGUGUGGCAAGCUGGUGCUGUCUUGGGCGACCAGCUGUUUAAAUUGCGAUUAAAAAUAAAAUAUUUUAAUGAUCUGCAUGCAACCCCUCCCCCCCUCCCCCAAUACUUGUAUCACCCAUCUCUUGUUGUUGUGACUGUUAUCUCAGACGUCGGGACCAUUGAGGGUGUGCGCUGAGUGGGGGAAGGGACAUCAGGCAGUGCAGGGGCAGGUGCUAAGCAAAGGGUGAACGUGAGGGCAGCUGGGAGAACGGGAGAGGAUGCUCGAGCAGGAGAGUGGAGCCUGUGCAGAGGAUAUAGGGCAGCGUUCUUCACUCGAUUUCAGAAGGGGGAGGGGCCACUUUCGCCGAUAAGACAUCAUCAGCAGCAGUGUGAGGUCCGCCACACAUUUGAAACCAUCGGGAUUUUGACAGCAGCACGAUGAUGAUGAUGGGAGGUGUUGUCACAAUUCGAGUCUUGUCGGGGUGCCGCGCGUCAGGAGCCGCCAGUGGCCCCCGGGCCUUGCGAUGAAGAACGCCGAUACAAGGAGAAGGGGUUUGAGGGGGGAAGUGUGAGAGGGUGGAGAGUCAGCGGAGAUAGAGGGCAGAGUUAGGGGAGUCACCGCGUAGAUAAGGGAGAAGGACGUGACAGCCAGAAGGGUGUUAAGUGUUGUUUGCUCGAAUAUCGGUGGCCAUAUAACGCUGUGAUUACACGUUGAGCUAAUAACCCUGUUGCUAAAGUUGGAGCGGGGAGUUGCGAGUGGUGUUUGAGAGCGGCGGUAUCUGCAUCAGAAAGGAGUGUUAGUCACCUCCAAUAAAAUUUUGUACCCUCAAAUAAGCAAUACAAAAUAAAAUGAAGCACUCUUAA